AGGGGGAGCGCCGGAUCCUGGGCUGUGUCCCCGGCGCCCUGGGCUCCGGGGCCUGAGCUGCUGGAAUCGCGACCCCUGCGGCGCAGCCCCUU
rnacentral:pre_miRNA from 1 species